ACAGUGCUCUAGCUAGAAUUCAAAAGGGGCAGGGUGCCAGUGGAGGGCAGGGCACUUUUUAUGAUAGGAGAAGGCACUGCUCAUUUUUUUAGUCUACGUCCCUGCAUGUAUCACAAGUUCACAUAUUUUUUUACUGUAUAUAUUGUUAAUAAAGAUGCAUUUAUAAAGUUGUUGUUUUGAUUAUUUAUUCUAUAAAAUUUGCAUAAGAAAAGUCAUUCAUACUAUAUCAUGUUCAUAAUACAUGGCAAUACACAUUCAUACUAUUAACCAAAAGAGGCAAAAUAAACUUACUAUUCUCCCCACCCCCUCUGUUUCCAAAAGAAAGAACAUAAACUAAACAUCUCAUAGUUUACCAUACAUGUACAUGACAGAGUAGUUGUAUUUCAAAAUGUCAUCUAGAGCUUG
rnacentral:lncRNA from 1 species